AUGUUGCUGCAUCAAGUGGGAGAUUGGAUUGAUGACCUCAAAGGUUUGUCUAGUUAUAAGCCUUUGGUGUGCUCAAUUACAGGAAGAGAAGAGAGCAGGCCCUUCUGGUCUCCUGCUCCAUCUUCUCUACCUUUGUUGUUUCUUUCCACUCUACAGGAGUUCCAUAGAGAAGGAGAUCAGGAUAAAGCCAGUGUCAGGACGCUUCACAUGGUCCUUGAGGUGUCUUGUCUGGGGGCUGUGGAUUAUGCUGAUUAUGCUGUGGAAAGGGAACUCCAAAAUGCCGCCCACACCUGCUGUGCUUAUCAACUGCCAAGUGAAUCCACCCAAAGCACAGCCUCUUCUGUGGUCCCGAAACCUACAAGCCCUGCCAAAGGGUCAAUAACAGAGGACUGAUUUGGGUGCUAUAGGUAUUGAUCUUGGUGCUAAGGAUGAAGAAAGAAAUGCAAGAAAAAUUGGCCUUUAGAGAGAUUUCCACCUGCUUAAGAGGCAAGCCAUGUUUCCAUGCAAUAAUUGGGAAAAUACAUAGUAAGUAAAAGCUAAAGGGGUGAUAAAAGUAUACAUCAUUGCUCCUAAGACAGAAUUUAUUAUGCUUCAUGUCUAUGUUCCUGGGAUGCAUCUAAUAAUUGAUAAUGACUUAUUUAAUAAUUGGUAGCAUCAUUUCAUUUUUUAGUUGUGUAUAAAAUAAUGGUGCAUUUUGUAAACUGAUGGUGUCUUGGAUUCAAUGACCUAUGGUAGCCAGUAGUAAUAUGUAACAUUUUAAGACAUUUGCCACAGUCUAGAUAAAGAAUGGAAUUUGGCAUUCCUGUGUGUGGAAUGCAAAAUUGUACAACCACUUUGGAAAACAGUUAAUUCUUAAAAAGUUAAACAUAGGUGUAGCAUGUGACUCCUUUGCUUAUUUCUAUAAUGUUCUAGAAAAUGCAAACUAGUCUAUAGAAACAGAAAGCAGAUCAUUAGUGGCCUAGGUAGAGACAAGGAGAGGCAUGAUGACACUUUUGGGGGUGAUAAAAAAUUUCCUUAUCUUGACUAUGGUGAUGACUUCACAGGUGUACAGAUUAAGUAAAACGUCACACGGUAUGCUUUAUGUAUAGUUGCAUCUAUAGUGCUUCAAUAAAUUGUUUUUAUUUAUUUUUAGUUUAAAAAAA
rnacentral:lncRNA from 12 species